rnacentral:rRNA from 1 species
UACAGAGGUCUCAAGCGUUGUUCGGAUUCAUUGGGCGUAAAGGGUGCGUAGGCGGCGCGGUUAAGUCGGGUGUGAAAUCUCGGGGCUUAACUCCGAAACUGCAUUCGAUACUGCGGUGCUUGAGGACUGGAGGAGGAGACUGGAAUUCAUGGUGUAGCAGUGAAAUGCGUAGAGAUCAUGAGGAAGACCAGUGGCGAAGGCGGGUCUCUGGACAGUUCCUGACACUGAGGCACGAAGGCCAGGGGAGGCAAACGGG